rnacentral:rRNA from 1 species
GAUGAACGCUGGCGGCGUGCUUAACACAUGCAAGUCGAACGAGAAGUGGAGACGGUAACCUUCGGGCGGAAGACUUUAUUUCGAGUGGCGGACGGGUGAUUAACGCGUGGGUAACCUGCCUCAUACAGGGGGAUACCCGUUGGAAUCGACUGUUAAUACCGCAUAAGACUACAGCCUCGCAUGGUGCGGGGGUAAAAACUCCGGUGGUAUGAGAUGGACCCGCGUACGAUUAGCCAGUUGGCGGGGUAACGGCCCACCAAAGCGACGAUCGAUAGCCGAUCUGAGAGGAGGACCGGCCACAAUGGGACUGAGACACGGCCCAGACUCGUACGGGAGGCAGCAGUGGGGAAUAUUGCACAAUGGUGGAAACCCUAAUGCAGCGACGCCGCGUGAGUGAAGAAGUAUUUCGGAAGGUAAAGCUCUAUCAGCAUGGAAGAAAAUGACGGUACCUGAGUAAGAAGCCCCGGCUAACUACGUG